UACGUAGGGGGCUAGCGUUGUCCGGAAUCAUUGGGCGUAAAGAGCGUGUAGGCGGCCCGGUAAGUCCGCUGUGAAAGUCGGGGGCUCAACCCUGGAAUGCCGGUGGAAACUGUCGGGCUGGAGUCCGGAAGAGGCGAGUGGAAUUCCUGGUGUAGCGGUGAAAUGCGCAGAUAUCAGGAGGAACACCAAUGGCGAAGGCAGCUCGCUGGGACGGUACUGACGCUGAGACGCGAAAGCGUGGGGAGCAAACAGG
rnacentral:rRNA from 1 species